ACAACAACAACAACGAGCACAGAGACAAUAACAACAACAAUAACCCCAACGACAAUAGAGACAACUACGAAGAGAACAACAACAAAAACAAGAAACACGAUGAUGAUGACGACGACAACGACGACAACAACAAUAACAACGACAAUGAUGACGACGACCACUACCACCACCACCAUGAAGACGACCACAACAACAACAACCAGAACAACAACAACAACAACAACAACAACAACAACAACAACAACAACAACAACAGCCACAACAAC
rnacentral:lncRNA from 1 species